CAGGCUUAUAACAGUUCCCCGGUUGCGCUGUUUAAAAAUCAUACACUCGGUAUUUAUAUCAUUUAGUGAAAGUCAGUUGGAAAAAUGGAGUUUCGAGCGAACAAACGCAUUAAACUAAGGCAACACAAUGACUACUAGAUCUACGGACAGCCAGGAACCAGGACAAACAACAUCCGUACACACGGGAGAAGUCGAUGAGACGAGUACCGAAACUAAAGAACAUAGCGACACUGCACACGAGUACAAUUCACAAGAUGCAGCAGAAAAUAUGUUGAACAGUGAAUCAUCGGAUAUCGAUGAUAGUGACAAUGACAAAGAAUAUAUUCCGGAAGAAGGCGAUGCAGCGUCAGAUGAGUCGAUAGUUGUCGAACUCAUACCAAACAUUCAAAGAUUUCAAAAGAAGACAGCGUCAACACUACCUCCUGUUGAAUCCUUGCAAUCUCGUGAACGUGACGAAUCAUCCGCAAAGGCACACAAAACCAACAUCACCAUCGCUCAAACAAAUAACAGUGAAUACAGACAUUACGAUAAGAGAUUUUAUUGCAUGUUUUGCGAAAAGGCUCAAAUAAAACUAAAAAAAACAUUUGCUUUUGCAGCAUAAAGAUGGGCAAGAUGUGAAAGAUCUAUUAAAUACGGAAAAUUCAGCAGAAAAUAAAAAGAUGUAUGAAAAAAUAAGGAACGUAGGGAACCAUCUCCAUAAUGUUAAAGUAUUGCGAGAUGGCCAAGGACAGCUGUUUGUGUCAUACAGACAAAGUCACAAUCAACGCGUAGCUGCAGACGAGUAUGGACCUUGUCCUUACUGUUACGGGUAUUACCCGAAGAAAAUCCUGUGGAGGCACACUCAAAAAUGUAAGUUUACAAUGCGGCGGGAUCAAGAAAACGACUCGCUUUAGAGAGCAGCCUGCUAUUACCAAAAUCAAAAGAAGGAAGCACUAUUUUAAGACGAGUAAUCGAGUCCAUGAGAAACGACGAAAUAAGUCGCAAAGUCAAAAGUGAUAAUACAAUCCUUGCAUUCGGUGAAAAACUCUGUACAAAAAGGGGCCAUGAUGAAAAGCAACACAAUUAUAUUAGACAGAAGUUAAGAGAAGUUGGUAGAUUGCUGAAAGACAUGCGAUCUUGUCCAGGCAAUGUUGAAAAGUCUUUGGAGAAUUUCAUGUAUCCAGAUGCUUUCAAAUUUAUUACACAAUCUUGCAAAAACGUUGCAGGCUUCGACGGAAACACCAAUACUUAUGCUACACCAUCAUUAGCCUUAAAGAUUGGCACAACGCUUCAGAAAUGUCUAAAAAUUCUAAUUUUGAAAGGAAUCGAAACAAACAACCAGGAUCUGCAAACAAGGGCUGAGGAGCUUUCCAAACUAUUUGAAAUUAAUUGGACGGAUGACGUGUCUUCCAAUGCCUUAAGAACACUUCAUGAGGCUAAGCAGAACAGUCAGAAAGAACUGUUGCCAUUGGCAAAUGAUGUCAAAGUAAUGUCUGAAUACUUACGACAUGAAGCAGAAACACAUGCAAAUACCUUACAAGAAUCAGCAAGUGAUUGCGAGAAAAGGCAAGCAUGGCAUAAGUUGUCUGAAAUCUGCUUGUGUUUAAUCGAAACGAUCAGACGAUGUGUCAAAAUGACAGUCGAAGAAUAUUCAAAAAACAAAUUGACAAAUGACGAUGGAGAAUUAGAUUGAUGUUUAACAAAACUGGAAAAAAACCUGUGCCGUUAUUUUUACCGUACAGAGAUUAUUGCAAAACGAGGUCGAAUAGCUGCAGUACUGUUUCCAAGACAGGUGAAAGAAAAUAUCGACCUGCUCAUACGCAGCAGAAAUUCUCUA